rnacentral:misc_RNA from 1 species
CCGAAAUGCAAUGAAGAAUUGAUAUCACGAAUCCCGAAAUUCAAUGAAGAAUUGAUAUCAUACAUUCAGCUCCACUGCUUAGCUAAAUUAUAGUACAACCAUACUGUAAGGAUGAAGAGUAUACAACAACAUCACCUCUGCAAAGCCUAUGUAAGGGUAGUAAUCAGAAAAAUUUCAGAGCAGCUACAUUUCCUGCUAGCCUCUUAGCCAGAAUCAUCUGAAUAACUCCCCCUUCUCCGCACAAUCAUUUUUACCUUGUCAAGCUCAGCUUCUUCAUCUCCCUCCUCAGCGCGUUCGCCCUCACCAAACUACCGAUCGUGUUCACCGCAAGCUUAAUAUCCUCUAUCGGAUUCCCAGGUUUGACUUCCUUGUACAGAUAGCUAUCGAAGGUCAUCUUCUGUACAUACUCGUCAGCACACAUCUCCACAAAUGCCUCCCUUGCGGGGUUGGAUCGGUAGAACACCUUCUGCAGCACGUCCAACACUUUGUAUGUCGGCCAGUAUGCUUUAUCGAACUUCGCCAAGUACUUCUUCAAGUCACUUUCAUCGAUCAUUCGCUUGCCAUUUUCGGAUCCCUCCACAAUUGCCUCAGCACACAUCCGGCCACUCUUUGCUGCAAAGUAAAUUCCCUCGCCAGAGCACUUGGUCACGUAUCCAGCUGCGUCUCCAACGAGUGCGACCCGCCCGGAAGAUCUGCGAGGUCGGGGAUGCUCCGGUAUUGGAUGGGCCUCCACCCGAAUAAUCUUCCCACCCUCAAUCUUAUCCUUCGCCCUCAACCUCGUCGCCGCCUGAAACUUCUUAAUCUCAGUCUUAUGUGUCACCGUCCCCGUCCCGACUGCUACAUGGUCGCAUUUCGGAAACACCCACCCAUAGAAAUCCGGCGAAACAUCAUCCCCGACAUACAUCUCUGCCAAGUCCUUAUAGUACUCCAUCUUACUCUCCGAAAUCCUCACCCUCUCCUGAAAAGCAAUAGCAUAAUCAUAGCUGCCGGCAUCAAUGGACUUUGCAACACGCGAAUUUGCGCCAUCGGCGCCAAUGACUGCAUCGACUUCAACCGUGCGCUUCUCUCCGGCGGGACCGCCGUUGAGGUUGUAGUGGAUGGUGUAGGGGGCGAUGGGGUUGGUGGGAAUGUCCAUACGAAGAAAAAGUCCGUUUAAGACAGUUGCACCAGCUGCGGCUGCGCGUUCACGAAGGUGGGCAUCGAGGACCUCACGUCGGACCAUGCCGAUGUACUCAUGGGGCUUGAGGGUGCGACCGAUGUCGACAGCGACAUUGGAGGGAGAUAUCAUCUUCAUCUUGGUUACUCGGCGAUCGAUGAUGUCGAGGAGCUGCCGCCGAAACCCUCGCCCGCGGCGGCAUCGACACCAUCCUCAUCGAGCGAAAGCUCGACAACUGCAAGCCCUGCGG